CCACAUUACUCUUGAGGUGAAAUGCUUACACUUUCAUUUAUAGACCAAAUAAUGUUUAAUUUAUAAUUUGUAAUUAUAAUAUUAAAUCUUAAUCUGACCUAUGGCAUUCAUCAUUUACUGCAAAGACUACUUGGGUAUCUAAUCCUGUUUGUGCUCUGUGCCUUCGUCCUUUAACGUCAGUUUCUACAUAGAGGGCUGCCUUCGCCUUUACCGAGUCCCUUUGGUAUCAUAGAAUUUCAUCUCUCCUCCUCAAGUACUGCCCUCUUACAUAAAACUCUAGUCAAGUACUAACAUUAUAGAAGCUAUAUUGACCGUCUAGGUACCCUUUAAACCUAAUUAAGAUGAAUAACACUAGUCUCUUACGUAUUACCGCGACUGCUGGCACGCAAUUAGUCAAGACACGAUAUAUAUACUGUCAUUAUCAAUAUAUAAACAAAGCUUUAUUCAAUUUUAAUACAAUCCUAUAGAUCAUAUUCAAAGAUAUGAUCAAAAUAGGACUUGCCACUUCUCCAAGUUGCCAGUUCAGCCGUUAGGCA
rnacentral:rRNA from 1 species